UAAAGGUUAAAUAACUAGAUUUUUAAGACAUAAUAAAAGCCCAUCUGAAACUGAUUUAAACAAUGCAGAAAUGCAUUAUCUUCUGAGGAAAUAGGGAGAGGUCAGGUAGGGUCCCCUUCUAGCACAUCAGGGGUUAAUCAUCGUCUGUGGGAUGUGUAUAGGAAAACCAAACUAUUUUAUUCUUUAUAUGCACAACAUUUCUGACACCAAAACUGUGGGAGUUUUACCCACACCAGACAAUUUUCUAAUUCUCUUUGAACAAUAACCAGCAUUACACAAUUCAAUUAAAUUCUGAUGCUAUUUACCAACAGCUAUUUUAGACCUCAAAGGUUAAGUGCCCAGCUGCACAAUACUAACACCCCCACCUCCCCACUUCAGACAACAGUCACAAGUCCAGGCUUUCGCCUGUAUUUCUAACCAACUAGCUACAAACUGGGGGUUUAUACAAUCCUCACCUUGGGUUUGACCAUUUGUAAGAACUGCUCAUUGAACUCAGGAAAACCAUUUAAUUGCUGUAUUACCAGUUCAUUAUAAAGGAUGCAACUCAUAAACAGUCAAACAAAAGCGCUGCAUAGAGCAAGGGAUGGGGAAGAGGCUGAGAGCUUCCCUUUGGGUGCACCCCAUGAUCAGCACCUCUGUGCAUUGACCAACCUGGAGGCUCUCAGAAUCCUGUCUUUUUGUGUUAUUGUAGAGGCUGUAUUACAUGGACAUGACUGAUUGUAUUAUUGCUCAUUGGUGAUUAAACUGUAGCUCCUCUCCCUUCCUCAGAGGUUAGAGAGUCUGAAGGAAAAUUCUAACCCUCUAAUCACUUGGUUGGUUCCCUUGGCAAUGAAUAGCCCUCAUCCUGUGUUUAUCUAGGGCUUUCCAAAACUCAUGUCACUUGCAUAAACUGAGGUAAACUUCUUAGGAAUAACGAAAGACACUUCUCUUACAUUUAUCACCCCCAUAAUUUAGGAAAUUCUGAGGAGUUUAGGAGCUUUGUCCAGGAAGGAGUAAAACAAUCAAAUAUAUAUUGCUUAUUAUAAAUAACGGUAUCACAAGAUACUGUGAUACUUCAGUUGCUUUCGGCAAUUGUCGUCAUCACAUCUGUAUAGAAUAAUACCCAAAGUACAAAGAAGACUUGUCUCUUUAACUCUAUUUUAGGAGCAAGGGAUUCUUCUUAGCACUCUCCUGUUAGAUUUGUCCUAAUGUUUCAUAGGUCAGAAUUACAUACUCAACGCUAAACAAUUACUGCUGUAAUAUGCCACCCAAAGUAGGGCUACGAGAAACCCAAAUAUGCCACCCCAAAAUAUGUCACUUUGGCAUAAAGGUCAUUUGGAGCUAAUUAUUUUGAGAAACUGUAGACACAGGGUAAACUCUAAGAGAGUAGAAGUUACCCCCUUGUAAGGAAAAUAUACACCCAUUAAAAAAUAUUUGUAAGGGUGUAUCAGAUCUCUGUACCAGGAGGAAAAGGAUGGCUGUAAAUCACUGGAGACUUCUAUCAAUGAAGCAGGCGCCAAACCUUGCUUAACAAACCUUGCUCUUGUUUAGUUCUCCUGAUCACUUUCCCACGAGUGUGCUUCCUCACACCUUUCUUUCUGUUUCAGUUGAAGAUUGCAUUUCAGCCUGAACUAUUUCUUUGAAAUGUACUCAUUUCUCUGAGUAUCUCUCAUGUCUAUAGGAGGCAUACAUCUGAUAAAGCUUCUGUUCGUUUUUCUCUUGUUACUUUAUGUAUUGCUACAGGGGUCAGUUCUACCGAGGAACUGUGAAAGGCAGAGGGAAAAUUAGUUUUUCCUCUGCUGCACUGCAAAUUAGAGUGGAAUCUCUGUGACUGUCCUAGGCUUAUCGUGAUCUAUUGUCCGUUAUUCUCAAUGGAAUCCUUUCCUCCUUAAUCAUGUGGAAGAAAAAGCAAAUAACAGUAAGAUCUAGACACUUUUAAAAGAAGGGAAAACAUAGAUUUGUGGGAGGUCUCUAACAGGGUAAACUAGAAGUUCUCUGAAGAUCUUGCUUAAAAGGAAGAAUUUUAUUUUGGGAAUAAGUCUUAUCUAAUUUCGUGCCAAGAAAAUGAGGUUUAUUUUUAUGUAUAUUAUGUGCAGUAAGAUUUUAUAUGAUAAAACUAAGAAACAAGAAAAAUAAUCAAAAUUCCCUUCUGAAUAACAUUCAUUCCAAAUGCCACUUACACAUAUGAUAAACUCAGAACCGAGAAUGCUCGGUGAGAGGCGGAGGAGCGGUAGCUGCCCGAGCUGCACACAGCUCAGCGCUCCUUCCCGCCCCCUCACACACCGACCUCAGCCCACUCACCGGCAGUAGAAGAUGGUGAAAGAAACCACUUACUACGAUGUUUUGGGAGUCAAACCCAAUGCUACUCAGGAAGAACUGAAAAAGGCUUAUCGGAAACUGGCCUUGAAGUACCAUCCUGAUAAGAAUCCAAAUGAAGGAGAGAAGUUUAAACAGAUUUCUCAAGCGUACGAAGUUCUCUCUGACGCAAAGAAAAGGGAAUUAUAUGAGAAAGGAGGAGAGCAGGCAAAGAGGGCAGAGCAGGUGGCGGUUUUGGCUCCCCCAUGGACAUCUUUGGUAUGUUUUUUGGAGGAGGAGGAAGGAUGCAGAGAGAUAGGAGAGGUAAGAAUGUUGUACAGCCGCUCUCGGUAACCCUAGAAGACUUAUAUAAUGGUGCCACAAGAAAACUGGCUCUGCAAAAGACUGUGAUUUGUGACAAAUGCGAAGGUAGAGAAGGUAAGAGAGGAGCAGUAGAGCGCUGUCCCAAUUGCCGAGGUACUGAAGGCAAAUAAGAAUUCAUCAGAUAGGACCUGGAAUGGUUCGGCAAAGUCAGUCUGUGUGCAUGGAGUGCCAGGGCCAUGGGGAGCGGAUCAGUCCUAAAGAUAGAUGUAAAAGCUGCAAUGGAAGGAAGAUAGUUCAAGAGAAGAAGAUUCUAGAAGUUCAUAUUGACAAAGCCUGAAAGAUGGCCAGAAGGUAACAUUCCAUGGUGAAGGAGACCAAGAACCAGGACUGGAGCCAGGAGAUACAAUCAUUGUGUUAGAUCAGAAGGAUCAUGCUGUUUUUACUCAAUGAGGAGAAGACCUUUUCAAGUGUAUGGACAUACAGCUGGUUGAAGCACCGUGUGGCUUCCAAAAGCCAAUAUGCAAUCUUGACAACUGAACCAUAGUCAUCACCUCUCAUCCAGGUCUGAUUGUCAAGCAUGGAGAUAUCAAGUGCGUAGUAAAUGAAGGCAUGCCAGUUUAUCACAGACCAUAUGAAAAGGGUCUCCUAAUCAUCGAAAUUAAGGUCAACUUUCCUGAGAAUGGCUUUCUCUCUCCUGAUAAACUGUCUUUGCUAGAAAAACUCCUACCGGAGAGGAAGGAAAUGGAAGAGACUGAUGAGAUGGAUCAAGUAGAACUGGUGGACUUUGAUCCAAAUCAGGAAAGACAGCGCCAUUGCAAUGGAGAAGCAUAUGAAGAUGAUAAACAUCAUCCCAGAGGUGGCGUUCAGUGUCAGACCUCUUAAUGGGCCAGUGAAUAACACUCACUGCUGGCAUUUUAUGUCCAGUAGUGAAUGAGUAAGGACUGUAAUCAUAAUAUGCUCACUACUUGCUCUUGUUUUUGUUUUAAUCAACUGUAGUAGUGUUUUUAAAAGUUAAAUGAAGAAUAAAGGCAAAUAUAAAAGCUCUGACUUUGCCCUGUAUGUAUGAUGACUUCAGCAUGCAAAAUGAAGUUUAAUACCUGUAAAAACUACUUUACACGAAAGUUCCCCUAGCACUUCUAGGCCAAACCUUGCAAUUGCCUUCAGCUAUGUACGUGGACAAGCUUCGACUGAAAUGCUAGGUAUAUGUAUUGGCUUCAGUGUAUGACCCUUCAUUGUUAAGCUGUGAAAGUAAAACUCACCGGCAAUAAGAAAAAAAAGUUGUAGAGAAGCGUUGGUCUGUAUAGUUAUUGUAUUAAGUGGGAUUCAUUGUAAUGCCUCUGCAUUUAUUCUAUUGCCUCAACUGCUACUUGAAGAUGGCGUAAUAUAUAAUUUAUCAUGUGGCAUAAGUGAUAAAAAUGAUACCUUUCUGUAGGAGGGGUUUUCAUAAUAUGCUGCUGCUUGAAGGCUUGCACUUCCAAAAUUGUUUCCUUCUGCUGUGCCAUCCAUAUAUAUAUAUAUCUCCAUAUAUAUCUUGACCAGUCCUGGUUAUUUGCCCCACUCCUUGUCUAUGGACCAUGAUAAGCCCAAGUAGUGACUUCAGAGCUGUGUAACAUAGAAAUGAAAGUGAAAAGACCUUUACAUGGAGAAGUAAUUUGCAUGAAUAAUAUAGGAAGGUGUUCUUUAGGUAUGUUACAGGAUUACUUUAAACCAUUUGAUUUACGUUCCAAAGUAACUAAUGUUGGUAGUAUAGCAAAUUAUGAUGAAUAAC